rnacentral:rRNA from 1 species
UACGUAGGGUGCGAGCGUUAAUCGGAAUUACUGGGCGCAAAGCGUGCGCAGGCGGUUUUGUAAGUCAGAUGUGAAACUCCCCGGGCUCAACCUGGGAACUGCGUUUGAAACUACAAGGCUAGAGUGUAGAAGAGGGGGGUAGAAGUUCCACGUGUAGCAGUGAAAUGCGUAGAGAUGUGGAGGAAUACCGAUGGCAAGGGCAGCCCCCCUGGGCCUAACGACUGACGCUCAUGCACG